rnacentral:rRNA from 1 species
UACGAAGGGGGCUAGCGUUGUUCGGAUUUACUGGGCGUAAAGCGCACGUAGGCGGAUCGUUAAGUCGGGGGUGAAAUCCUGGAGCUCAACUCCAGAACUGCCUUCGAUACUGGCGAUCUAGAGUCCGGAAGAGGUGAGUGGAACUCCUAGUGUAGAGGUGGAAUUCGUAGAUAUUAGGAAGAACACCAGUGGCGAAGGCGACUCACUGGUCCGGUACUGACGCUGAGGUGCGAAAGCGUGGGGAGCAAAC